rnacentral:misc_RNA from 1 species
GCAAACUUGGUCAUUUAGAGGAAGUAAAAGUCGUAACAAGGUUUCCGUAGGUGAACCUGCGGAAGGAUCAUUAUUGAAUAAACUGCCUUGAUGGGUUGUCGCUGGCCUCUUGAGGCAUGUGCACGCCUGUCUUGACUCUAUUCAUCCACCUGUGCACCUAUUGUAGUUCUGUACUCUCCAAAGGUCAAGAAAGCAGGCUUGUUGUUCAGUUGAGACACACUGGAUUUGAGGAUUGCCCCUAAAGCUUUCCUCUGUUGGCCUUGUGGAAUUGUACCUUUUUGAGGAUGGGGCUAUGUCUUUUAUCAUAAACUAUCUAGUAUGUUGCCAGAAUGUAUUCAAUGGGCCAUUGUGCCUAUAAAACCUUAUACAACUUUCAGCAACGGAUCUCUUGGCUCUCGCAUCGAUGAAGAACGCAGC